UACGAAGGGGGCUAGCGUUGCUCGGAAUCACUGGGCGUAAAGCGUGCGCAGGCGGUUCGUAAAGUCUGAUGUGAAAGCCCCGGGCUCAACCUGGGAACUGCAUUGGAAACUAGCGAGCUUGAGUGUGGCAGAGGGGGGUGGAAUUCCACGUGUAGCAGUGAAAUGCGUAGAGAUGUGGAGGAACACCGAUGGCGAAGGCAGCCCCCUGGGCUAACACUGACGCUCAGGCACGAAAGCGUGGGGAACAAACAGG
rnacentral:rRNA from 1 species